GACUACCGGGGUAUCUAAUCCUGUUUGCUCCCCACGCUUUCGUUCCUCAGCGUCAAGAAUGCCCCAGCUAUCUGCCUUCGCUUUUGGUGUUCCGCACGAUAUCAACGGAUUUCACCCCUACACCGUGCGUUCCGAUAGCCCCUAGCACCUUCAAGUUCGGAAGUUUCCAAUACUCGCCCCGGGUUGAGCCCGGAUAUUUGAUAUCAGACUUUCCGAACCGCCUACGAACACUUUACGCCCAAUAAAUCCGGAUAACGCUUGCGGGUUCUGUAUUACCGCUGCUGCUGGCACAGAAUUAGCCCCCGCUUAUUCAUAGGGUACCGUCAAUUACUUCUUUCCCUAUAAAAGGAGUUUACGGCGCGAACGUCUUCAUCCUCCACGCAAUGUCGCUGGAUCAGGCUUUCGCCCAUUGUCCAAUAUUCUCGACUGCAGCCCCCCGUAGG
rnacentral:rRNA from 1 species